CCUUCUGUUGAGAAUGUUAAACGGAAAGCAAAGCACAUGUGAGAUGCCUGAGUAUUGAGGAGAAAAGGCAUGUGUUUCUGCUUUGCCGGGAGAGGCAUGUAGACACUCCAGACUUGGUUAUAUUCUCUGUGCAAUCUCGGCAAGAAGCACCAUGCACAACUACAACUUGAAACAAACAGUUUGAAAUAGGAAGCUCCCAGUCAUAUCAAAUUUUGUUCAGUCAACAUCAAGAUGCAGUACCUGAUGUCGAUGAGGAUGCGGAGUGGAGAAACGACUUGAGUAGGGCUAGUGAUCGCCGCCUUGCAGUUCAUCUAAUUCGAAAGUAUCUCUUGCCGUGGACAUGGCAAGUGAUAAUUCAUUUUGUUGUUGUCGUGAACAAAUUUGAAUGAUGAUGGCACAUGAAAACGGUUUCGACCAACGCUCGAUCUGAAUGAGAUGUGGACCGACCGGUAUCUGAACCCUUGUGAAGUGAUGGCUAUUGGUCGUAAUAAUUCCAAAAAAUCUAGUUUACAUAAAUUCUGAGAUUUUAUAUGUGUUUGUUUUUUCAGAAUUAUUCGUGGAAUUCUUAUCUAUGGUCCAUUGUUAUCUGUAGAAUUUUGUAUGAAGGAUAUGAAAUUUUGUAGAAAUAUAUUGUUAUAUGUGUAGCAAAGUCUGUUAUGAUAUGUGUUAAUUUGAGGGAUUUCCUUCCCUCCCCCUUC